rnacentral:rRNA from 1 species
UACGAAGGGGGCUAGCGUUGUUCGGAAUCACUGGGCGUAAAGCGCACGUAGGCGGAUUUCUAAGUCAGGGGUGAAAUCCUGGAGCUCAACUCCAGAACUGCCUUUGAUACUGGGAAUCUCGAGUCCGGGAGAGGUGAGUGGAACUGCGAGUGUAGAGGUGAAAUUCGUAGAUAUUCGUAAGAACACCAGUGGCGAAGGCGGCUCACUGGCCCGGUACUGACGCUGAGGUGCGAAAGCGUGGGGAGCAAACAGG